UGUGUAGAUGCGAGAGCAGACGUUGUGGCGUGUUGGAGAUCAAUGUUUUGUAAAUAAAGUGUUAAAUUAUGUUUUUUUUUUUGUUUGUUUUUUUUUUUUUUUACAAAAAAAGCACUCGAAUCGCUUCAUAAAAUUGAGGUUAAACCACUGAUCUAUAGGUAUAAAUGUCAUUCACUCAAAGUAAGGCUGUCAGUGGAGGGACAGAAAGCUCCGAACAUGAAUGAAUGAAAGUCUUACGGGUUUGGAACGACAUGGGGAUGAGUAAAUGAUGACAGAAUUUUCUUUUUUGGGACAACUAAACCUUUAACUCAGCCUAAGGCACGCUCACUAUGUAGCUGAAGGCACAUUCCUCUUUAUUGCAACAGAACGCACAAAUAUAUAUAGCUGAACAGUGAACAAAUAAACAGGUAGAGUGAGUUAGGCAGUGAUGUUAUAAGACGGAAGAUUCUACAAAGUAUCAACACGCAGAUUCAGUAUGAGUAUACCUGCAUACCCACCCCCCAAAUACGAAGACAUCCAUUUUAAUGAGGAUCCCGCUACACCGCCAUCCUUAAAUGCCGCGGCUACAGCGCCACCUCCCUACAGUGAGACAGAUAAUUUUCAAGAGAUUCUUCAGAUUCCUCAAAACCCUAAUAUGAGGAGGGCAAACCCUUAUCCUGUCCUCAAUCUGCCACAUCAAAUAGCAAUUAGACAAGAACAAAUGUUCGUGCAGCAGCAGGUGAGGACUGUAGCCCCUCAGGUGAUCGUGGUGCAGCCACAGAGGGUUGUUGUUUUGGGUGACACACCAACAACGACUGUGUGCCGGUACUGCCGUAAGAG